UACGUAGGGUGCAAGCGUUGUCCGGAAUUAUUGGGCGUAAAGAGCUCGUAGGCGGUCUGUCGCGUCGGCUGUGAAAUCUCGGGGCUCAACCCCGAGCCUGCAGUCGAUACGGGCAGACUAGAGUGCUGUAGGGGAGACUGGAAUUCCUGGUGUAGCGGUGAAAUGCGCAGAUAUCAGGAGGAACACCGGUGGCGAAGGCGGGUCUCUGGGCAGUAACUGACGCUGAGGGGCGAAAGCGUGGGGAGCAAACAGG
rnacentral:rRNA from 1 species